UACGUAGGGUGCAGGCGUUAAUCGGAAUUACUGGGCGUAAAGCGUGCGCAGGCGGUUUCUUAAGUCAGAUGUGAAAGCCCCGGGCUUAACCUGGGAACUGCGUUUGAAACUGGGAGACUAGAGUGUGGCAGAGGGGGAUGGAAUUCCGCGUGUAGCAGUGAAAUGCGUAGAUAUGCGGAGGAACACCGAUGGCGAAGGCAAUCCCCUGGGCCUGCACUGACGCUCAUGCACGAAAGCGUGGGGAGCAAACAGG
rnacentral:rRNA from 1 species